rnacentral:rRNA from 1 species
CGAGUCUUAAUUGGGCGUUAAGUUGCAGGGUAUAGACCCGAAACCCGGUGAUCUAGCCAUGGGCAGGUUGAAGGUUGGGUAACACUAACUGGAGGACCGAACCGACUAAUGUUGAAAAAUUAGCGGAUGACCUGUGGCUGGGGGUGAAAGGCCAAUCAAACCGGGAGAUAGCUGGUUCUCCCCGAAAGCUAUUUAGGUAGCGCCUCGUGAAUUCAUCUCCGGGGGUAGAGCACUGUUUCGGCUAGGGGGCCAUCCCGGCUUACCAACCCGAUGCAAACUGCGAAUACCGGAGAAUGUUAUCACGGGAGACACACGGCGGGUGCUAACGUCCGUCGUGAAGAGGGAAACAACCCAGACCGCCAGCUAAGGUCCCAAAGUCAUGGUUAAGUGGGAAACGAUGUGGGAAGGCCCAGACAGCCAGGAUGUUGGCUUAGAAGCAGCCAUCAUUUAAAGAAAGCGUAAUAGCUCACUGGUCGAGUCGGCCUGCGCGGAAGAUGUAACGGGGCUAAACCAUGCACCGAAGCUGCGGCAGCGAACGUAUCACCCAAGACAACUUUACGGAGUUGACGAUUGACGGAGCGAAGCGACGUCAAAGCGUUCAUUAAAGUCGAGUUGGCUUAGGGAUACGUUCGUUGGGUAGGGGAGCGUUCUGUAAGCCUGUGAAGGUGUGUCGUGAGGCAUGCUGGAGGUAUCAGAAGUGCGAAUGCUGACAUAAGUAACGAUAAAGCGGGUGAAAAGCCCGCUCGCCGGAAGACCAAGGGUUCCUGUCCAACGUUAAUCGGGGCAGGGUGAGUCGACCCCUAAGGCGAGGCCGAAAGGCGUAGUCGAUGGGAAACGGGUUAAUAUUCCCGUACUUGGUGUUACUGCGAAGGGGGGACGGAGAAGGCUAUGUUGGCCGGGCGACGGUUGUCCCGGUUUAAGCGUGUAGGUGUGUGUUCCAGGUAAAUCCGGUUCACUUUAACACUGAGGCGUGACGACGAGGCACUACGGUGCUGAAGCAACAAAUGCCC